rnacentral:lncRNA from 1 species
AUGACAGUCUACCUGCGGACGGCGUGCGGCCGUCGCGGGUCGGUUCUGACCCGGUCGAUCUCGGGGUGCUGCAGCAGGAGCUGCACGGUCUCCGCGUGGCCUCCUCUGGCGGCGAAGUGCAGCGGAGAGCUCAGCUGGCCGUUCAGAAGGUUCGGGUUGCAGUUGCCUUUCUCCAGGAGCAACUUGGUCGCCUCCACCUUCCCGUGCCUGGAUGGAGGUCAAGGUCAGGAUGGAGGUCAAGGUCAGGGUGGAGGUCAAGGUCAGGAUGGAGGUCAGGAUGGAGGUCAGGUCAGGAUGGAGGUCGAGGUCAGGAUGGAGGUCAAGAUGGAGGUCAGGGUCAGGAUGGAGGUCGAGGUCAGGAUUGAGGUCAGGGUCAGGAUGGAGUUCAUGGUCAGGAUUGAGGUCAGGGUCAGGAUGGAGGUCGAGGUCAGGAUGGAGGUCAGGAUGGAGGUCAAGGUCAGGAUGGAGGUCAGGAUGGAGGUGGAGGUCAGGAUGGAGGUCGAGGUCAGGAUGGAGGUCAGGAUAGAGGUCAGGAUGGAGGUUGAGGUAAGGUGGAGGUCGAGGUCAGGGUGGAGGUCAGGAUGGAGGUCAGGGUCAGGAUGGAGGUGGAGGUCAGGAUGGAGGUCAAGGUCAGGAUGGAGGUCAGGAUGGAGGUCGAGGUCAGGAUGGAGGUCAGGAUGGAGGUCGAGGUCAGGAUGGAGGUCAGGAUGGAGGUCAAGGUCAGGAUGGAGGUCAGGAUGGAGGUCGACGGUCAGGGUUGAGGUCAGGAUGGUCAGGAUGGAGUCAGGAUGGAGGUCAGGAUGGAGGUCGAGUCAGGAUGGAGGUCGAGGUCAGGGUGUAGGUCAGGAUGGAGGUCAAGGUCAGGGUGGAGGUCAGGAUGGAGGUCGAGGUCAGGAUGGAGGUCGAGGUCAGGAUGGAGGUCAGAUGGGAGGUCAGGGUCAGGGUGGAGGUCAGGGUAAGGAUGGAGGUCGCGGUCAGGAUGGAGGUCAGGAUGGAGGUCAGGAUGGAGGUCAGGAUGGAGGUCAAGGUCAGGAUGGAGGUCAGGAUGGAGGUCAAGGUCAGGGUGGAGGUCAGGAUGGAGGUCAAGGUCAGGAUGGAGGUGGGGGCCCCCGCUGA